GGAAAUGCAGGUCACAUGUUUGUCAGGCCUCCAGGAUUCACACAAAACAUUUUGAGUUAAACUUUUGUUUCUCCACAGGAGCCUGUUCCAGAGAGCAGGUUUAUUAAACUCUGACUUGACUAAAACCUGAGAUUUUGUUUCCAGAGCAGCUGAGUGUCUGAGUGUGUUCACGCUGAGUUAACUGUGUGUGAGGUGAAUAAGAAACAAUGGAUAUGAAUGGAGCUCCUUACUACAGUUCACCAUGGCAACAGCUGUAACCUGACGAGGACAAAGUGCUGCUGCAGCAGGAGAUGGAGAAAGAUCAAACAGGGAUUUUCCAGACAAUGCAUGAGGGGAAACGCUCUGCUCUUCUCUGCCGAUGUGUUGAUUAGCCUCAGCCGGCCGCCAUCAUCCCUGGACGGGACGUCACCUGCAGCAACAGGCCUGAGGUGGGAGGCGGUAGGAAAACACAUCACUCAGAUAAAUAACCACAGCUUUAUGUGCAGACCACUGGACCACAGCACUGCGGUGUUGUGGGGGGGUUGUGGGUCUCCUCUGCCAUUUGCCUGGUUCCACAUAGGUGCUCUCCCAAAACAACACAGAGCAGAGAUGCAGAGGCAGCUGUGCAUUUAGUGUGCAAAGAGAUCUGCUGCGUUUGAUAAAAUAAACUCUGAGCAGUAUAUGUUCAUCACACAGACAGAGCAGAUGAUGAUCAGUAGUGUUUGGUGAUUUAUGUGUAGCAGGCGCACAGUCAUAGUAAUCCUCUUUAAUCCUUCGCUGGAUAUAUCUACAGAUGAGAGCGCUGUUAUUAAAGCCCCUUAUGUCCCCACCCAGGACCACCCACCACCCACUGUCACUGUCACUGUCACUGCUCGUUAUCACAUAAAACGACGACAGAUUAAAACCCAACUUUUCCCCUUCUCUUUGUUUUUCCUUUGUGUGUGUUUGUUGAAAGUCAUUUUUAAGAGGAGACAGCUCAACAAACACUUUUCUACCUUUUAUAUAAACAACAGACGCCAACAUGUUUGUCAUAUUUAUAUAAGGUUGUUAAAUACUGGAUCUUUACUGAAGGAAAAACAAGAGAAAAGACUCUCAGUCCGAGCCGUGCCGAGCCGUGCCGCGCCGCGCUGCACUGCGCUGUGCUCCGGGCUGUUGGAAGUGAGCAGCGUGAGUCUGAUGCCCGGCUGUGAUGCACUGUGUGCGUGUCCUUGCCCUCUCCUUUAACCUCACAGGGAUUGUUUCUCUCUCUGUGCAGCUCCGCUCAUCAUAUUAAGCUGCAAUGAGACUUUUUCAUUUGUCAGCAUUGCCACUGUUUGCCUGUGGACGUGCGGGUCAGAUGUGGCCUUUAAUGCUCUGGAACUUGAUAAGAUGCGACAGGAUGAGGUUAAUCUACCUCAGUAGUUAAUGGCUUUGGUUCACCAAGACUUUAGAGUCGCCUGUUUACCUCCAAAACUCUGGAUUACAUAGGUCCGGUGCCAGCAGCCUGGCAGAGAGCGGCGUUUCUGUGAUUGAACCGAACCCUGUGCACAAAUCAAAACCUCAGGUCACAGUUUUCACGUAUCCUGUGAAAUAUCUCAGUGUGGCAUAAACAGACGCUCCUGUUUAAAGGAUGAUUUCUGUUGACUCUCAUGAUGCCUCAGACUUUUCAUUUGCUGCCACGGUAAAGGAAGAGUCAGGUCGGCGUUUUUGGUUUUUAAUCUUUUAAUCCAGCGCCAUCAAAAAGUUUGUCUUUAGGGUGAAAACAAUCUUUAAAUCCAACAUUUUCCCAGAAUGCACAGCUCCAGUCUGCUCCUCUUCACCGGAGCGUGGCCACCACAGUUUGUAAAACUGAUGUUACAGGAUUCAGUCUGCUGUUAGACAUCAGACGAUGAAGAUCUGCUGGAUCAAACUUCUCAAAUAUACGAUCUGUGUCUCUGCUGUUCUGUGGCUCCGAGUCUUUCCCUCAGCGGGCUUCAUGUGCAUCUGAACGUGUUUCAGGAUCAUGGUGGGUCAGGAGCUGACGCGUGGUCCCCCACCGGGCCCGUCCUGUUUUAACAUCCCAGCGGGCACCGAUCUGCACCAGCGUGGGUUUGAUUAUUCUCCGAGAGCCUGCUGAUGUGGGCGGCACCGAGAAAGAUGCACUCUGGCUUCAACUCCGAGAGUGAGUGUGUGUUUUAAACGCAGUGUGUGUGUGUGUCUUUGUCACGUCACACUGUAAAAUAAAAUCUCAACAGGUCAGUGCAGAGUAGAGCAGGGUUAGACUUCAUCACAGUAAACUGAUACUAAGCUGCCUAACAGAUUAGACUGGCAUCGUCUGUGUGUUAUAUUGUGUCUUUUGAUGCUGUUCAUCGGUGUGGAAGUGUGUUCUCCGUUGCACGAUGUUCACAGCCUUCGGACCGUGACCACAGCUGGACCUUGACCUGACCCCGUGACUGUAGGGCGGGUGGAGAGGUGGAGGUCACAGGAACACUCCCCCCGCCCCUCACCCCUCCCUCCCCUGCUGCACAACUUCCUCCAAUCAGCCACAGCACACACACACACACACACACACACACACACUGUCUACUAAAGCACUGUAACAUCUGUUUGUUCUUUCAGGCAGAAUGAGAGUUUCUAAACAAACACCAUCCUCUGAAGCAUAUCACCAUCUCACAGAAAUAGAAACUUCUGCUUUUGUCCACCUCUCAAGCAUGAGUGUGUGUGUGAGUGUGUGUGUGCACCGUGUAGCUAUCUUUGUGAGGACCACGCUGAGUUUUAGAGCUUUAGUGUGAAGACGUUCUGGCCUCUCUCCACACGGCUGUUUGAGAGUUAAGACUUGGUUUUAGGGUUUGGGUUAUAAUGGGUUAGGGUUAGUGUUGGUACAGGGUGGAUGAGGAUGUGACUGUCCUCUUAAAGACUAGGAACAGUCUAAAGCUCCUCCUCCUGUUGUAGUUAUGUAGCAUGUGAAUUCUUCAAAAUGUGUUCUGUGCAGUCACAGUGACCUUUGACCUCUGACCUUCAAAAUCGAACCAGUUCAUCUUUAAGUCCGAAGAAAUUCCCUCGAAGCAGAUUCACACUCAAGUGACCUUUGACCUCUGGGCUCCAACGUCUCAACAUCAUGGAGUCUUCCUCUUUCUUCACUCGGUGCACCUACACUGUUCAGAACCGUUCAGAGCGAUUUCAACCCUGAACCGGUUCUGAUCCUGAAGAGUCAAAGAGAGGAUGAGGAGAGAGCAGAGCAGCUGUGGAAGUGAACUGACGAAUCAAAGCGAACACAAACCCGCGGGUGUAGAUGUUUACAGACGGAC